rnacentral:rRNA from 1 species
CUACGGGCUGCAGCAGUGAGGAAUUUUGCGCAAUGGGGGAAACCCUGACGCAGCAACGCCGCGUGAGUGAAGAAGGCCUUUGGGUCGUAAAGCUCUGUCAACAGGGAAGAAGUUACUGUUUUUAAAUAGAGGAUGGUAUUGACGGUACCUGUGAAGGAAGCAUCGGCUAACUCCGUGCCAGCAGCCGCGGUAAUACGGGGGAUGCAAGCGUGUAUUCGGAAUUAUUGGGCGUAAAGGGCACGCAGGCGGCCUUGUCAGUCAGAUGUGAAAGCCCGGGGCUCAACCCCGGACGUGCAUUUGAAACAGCAAGGCUUGAGUACAGUAGAGGAGAGGGGAAUUCCUGGUGUAGAGGUGAAAUUCGUAGAUAUCAGGGGGAACACCGGUGGCGAAGGCGCCUCUCUGGGCCUGUACUGACGCUGAGGUGCGAAGGCGUGGGUAGCGAACAGGAUUAGAUACCCCCGUAGUC